GGUAUACACAAAAGUUCUUAGCAUCGCUAAGUGCACUUAACGGCAAAGAAUCGUUAAGUUUUCUACUUAAAAUGGCGCUGGGCCGCUUAGCGCUGAAGCUGGAGCACUUAGCGGGCGGAAAAUUUAAGGCGGGGAAGGGGCUCCCAUAGCACCGUUAAAAAUGCAUAAGUAUUGCAACAUGGUGGAUUACAGCGGGAUGAAAGGCAUCACCUCCUAAUAUAUCUGCCUCGUCUAGACGAAUUGGAGGCGUGUAAUGAUUUGAAACUCAUCCUGAAAUAUCUGUGGACUGUGCUGACCGUGCUGAGAUGAGUGGUUCGGCGAGGCGGACCUUGGAAACACCUACAUGGCCAUCACGACUGAAGUGGUGUUCGCUGACAGGUAAAAUGCAGGUGCAACCUUCACAGGCUGACAGAGAUUGAGUGAUAACAGACACUGGAGACCCUCCAAGCGAUGGCUGGUGACCGCCUGCCACCAUCCACAGGCUGUCACACAAGGAGCCCUGGGAGUAACCUUGCUGGAAGCCCCGCGGGCCGCGGUGUGUGGCUGGCGUUAUACAGCCCCCAGCCAUCGCCUGGAGACAUCCAGUGUCUGUUAUCACUCACCUUAGGUAGUCUGUGAAGGUCCAGUCAUCACUGGUGCACGUGUAUCUUACCUGUGAUCAACACCGGCAGCCACAGACUCCUGCCCAAGGAACGAACACAGUGAUCGUGAUGACAUUGACAACAACGAGCAAGUCCUCCUAGACCUAGAGUGACCUCAAGCUGGGCCAAACAUGAUGUGGAAGAAGAAAUCAGUUGUCUCCAUCAGUCGGGUUUGUGCCAUGGCAGCUUUCUCCAGCUGUCCGGCAGAGGUCCAGUCCAUGCCAUGGAGAAAUUCAGCCCCCAACAAUGAGAUGGCAUGCCAGAGAUGGAUCCGCAGCUUCUCCUCCAAUCAGUCAAUCCUUGCAAUGCCCUUUCUCUUUUCUCUCCUUCUGUACCACCAUGCUUACACAUAACUGAUCCAAGGUACUUAAACUCGUUAACCUCCUCCAUUUCUUCACCAUUCAAAAUUAUUUGGCAUUCUUUUUCACAUUCAAUGCCCACUCUAUAUGGGCAUACAAACUCUACAACCUCCCUUCUACUCCGCUCACAAACCAUCACUUUACUUUUGUUGACAUUUACUUUCAACUUUCUCCUUUUACAUACACUAUCAAAAACACUGACCAAAUUUUGUAAGUCACUUUCAUUUUCUGCAUUGAGCACUGUCAUCAGCAAAUAAGAUUGAAUUCAUCACCCACUUCCCUCCCUCCCUCAGCAUACAUUUUUACUUCAAUUUCCCCAACUUUGCCCUUCAUUUCUCAUAACACCAUCCAUAUAAAUAUUGAACAACCAUGAUGACAUAUAUAUCUUUAAGACGUCCCACAAUGCCAGCCAAUCGACUCUGUCAUAAACUUUCUUUAGAAUAACUAGAUCCAUGAAGGCAGCAUAGUAUUUUUUCCUUUUGCUAAUAUUUUUUCUAAUAAAACACCAUACUGAAGGAAAAUAUCUGAUCCACACAUCCUCUUCCCUUCCUAAAGUCUCCUUGUUCUUCACUGAUUUUCUCUUCUGUAAGUCUUUGCGCAGUCUCAAUUAGGACUUUUCCAUAUACCUUUCCAGGUAGCCUACACUCAGCAGACUUAUACCCCUACAACUCCCACUUCCCCUCUCCUGCCCUUCCCCUUGUAAACUGGGACCAUGAUGGCUUUUGUCAAGUCUGCUGGGACCUCCCCCCCCCCUUCCCAGGCCACUUCACAUAUCUUGACCAUUCAUAUAGUAACUUCAUCUCCACACUUCAACAUUUCUGCUGUGAUUCCUCUCAAUUCAUUCAUCAUCAUCA